rnacentral:tRNA from 1 species
GCACCUGUAGCUCAACUGGAUAGAGUACCAGACUUCGAAUCUGGAUGCUGGCGGUUCGAGUCCGUCCAGGUGCA